rnacentral:rRNA from 1 species
UACGGAGGGUGCGAGCGUUGUCCGGAAUCAUUGGGCGUAAAGGGCGCGUAGGUGGCCCGGUCAGUCCGUGGUGAAAGCGCGGGGCUCAACCCUGCGUCGGCCAUGGAUACUGCCGCGGCUGGAGCACUGUAGAGGCAGGCGGAAUUCCGGGUGUAGCGGUGGAAUGCGUAGAGAUCCGGAAGAACACCAGUGGCGAAGGCGGCUCUCUGGGCCUUUCCUGACGCUGAGACGCGAAAGCGUGGGGAGCGAACCGG